UACGUAGGGUGCAAGCGUUAAUCGGAAUUACUAGGGCGUAAACGUGCGCAGGCGGUUAUGUAAAGACAGAUGUGAAAAUCCCCCGGGGCUCCAACCUGGGAACUGCAUUUGUGACUGCAUAGCUAGAGUACGGUAGAGGGGGAUGGAAUUCCGCGUGUAGCAGUGAAAUGCGUAGAGAUGAUGGAGGAAUACCAAUGGCGAAGGCAGCCCCCUGGGUUAACACUGACGGCU
rnacentral:rRNA from 1 species